AACCAAGAAAUUGAGUCAUUUAGUUAUGGUUAAAAGGCAGUUAGGUUGUAAGUUUUAGUUGUCGGUUGUUUGAUGUUAUAUAUAAAGGUAAAAUUUAGAUAUAGUUGCAUAAGUUGUUAACAACCUUUUUGGCUGAAUCUGCGAAGUUCUUGAGGGAAACUGGGAUUAGGUACCCCAUUAUUCUUGAGAGUAAAUUGCAUUUGCUACCAGAGUACUAUGAAUGAAUAAAAAUUUAAAACUCAAAGGACUUGGCGGUGUCUUAGACCAUUUAGGGGAACCUGUCUCGUAAUCGACAGUCCACGUUACACCUGACCUUUCUUUGUAAAGCAGUUUGUAUACCGUUGUCGUCAGGUAACUUUUUAGAAAAAUGAAGUUAGCAAUAUAAAUAAAUUAUUUGGGACGUCAAAUCAAGGUGCAGCUAAUGGAAAGGAGAGGAUGGGUUACAAUUAUUUAAUUUAUAAUUUUACGGAUAUAGUUAUAGAAAAAUUCUAUGUAAGGAGGACUUAAAAGUAAAUUGAUAUAUAAAAACAAUUUGAAUGAGGCUCUGAGACGUGU
rnacentral:rRNA from 1 species